rnacentral:tRNA from 1 species
GGUAGUGUGUGGCCGAGCGGUCCAAGGCGCUGGAUUUAGGCUCCAGUCUCUUCGGAGGCAGGGUUCGAAUCACUCCGCUGCCA